rnacentral:rRNA from 1 species
GAUGAACGCUGGCGGCGUGCCUAAUACAUGCAAGUCGAGCGAACAGACGAGGAGCUUGCUCCUCUGACGUUAGCGGCGGACGGGUGAGUAACACGUGGAUAACCUACCUAUAAGACUGGGAUAACUUCGGGAAACCGGAGCUAAUACCGGAUAAUAUAUUGAACCGCAUGGUUCAAUAGUGAAAGACGGUUUUGCUGUCACUUAUAGAUGGAUCCGCGCCGCAUUAGCUAGUUGGUAAGGUAACGGCUUACCAAGGCAACGAUGCGUAGCCGACCUGAGAGGGGGAUCGGCCACACGGGAACUGAGACACGGUCCAGACUCCUACGGGAGGCAGCAGUAGGGAAUCGUCCGCAAUGGUCGAAAGCCUUACGGAGCAACGCCGCGUGAGUGAUGAAGGUCUUCGGAUCGUAAAACUCUGUUAUGAGGGAAGAACAAAUGUGUAAGUAACUAUGCACGUCUUGACGGUACCUAAUCAGAAAGCCACGGCUAACUACGUG